UAUGGCCAUAUCACAUUGAAACACAGAUUCUCAUCCGAUCACUGAAGUUAAGCAACAUCGAACAUGGUCAGUACCUAGAUAGGUGACUGCUUGGGAAUACCAGAUGCUGUAAG